rnacentral:rRNA from 1 species
CGAUUGGAUGAGCCAUGUCGGAUUAGCUAGUUGGCGGGGUAAUGGCCCACCAAGGCGACGAUCCGUAGCUGGUCUGAGAGGAUGAUCAGCCACACUGGAACUGAGACACGGUCCAGACUCCUACGGGAGGCAGCAGUAGGGAAUAUUGGACAAUGGGCGCAAGCCUGAUCCAGCCAUGCCGCGUGAGUGAAGAAGGCCCUCGGGUUGUAAAGCUCUUUUGUCCGGAAAGAAAAGCGCCGGGUUAAUACCCUAGUGUCCUGACGGUACCGGAAGAAUAAGCACCGGCUAACUUCGUG